CCUACGGGAGACUGCAGUGGGGAAUAUUGGACAAUGGAGGCAACUCUGACCCAGCAACGCCGCGUGAGUGAUGAAGUUUUUCGGUAUGUAAAGUUCUAUGAUGGGGGAUGAAAACAAUGACGGUACCCCACUAGCAAGCCCCGGCUAACUACGUGCCAGCAGCCGCGGUAAUACGUAGGGGGCAAGCGUUAUCCGGAAUGACUGGGCGUAAAGGGUGCGUAGGUGGUUUAGUAAGUAGGCGGUGUAAUGCCGGGGCUCAACCUCGGCGCUACCGCCAAAACUAUUAGACUAGAGUGCAGGAGGGGUAAGUGGAAUUCCUAGUGUAGCGGUGGAAUGCGUAGAUAUUAGGAGGAACAUCAGGGGCGAAGGCGACUUACUGGACUGUAACUGACACUGAGGCACGAAAGCGUGGGGAGCAAACAGGAUUAGAUACCCCGGUAGUC
rnacentral:rRNA from 1 species